UUUGCUUUGUGUCUUUCUUUCUUGCUUUUUCAUUUUUCUUUCCUUCUUUGAAUUCUCGGACGGGAAGGAGGGAGGACAAAGAUGAAAGAAGAAAACUC
rnacentral:ribozyme from 11 species